rfam:Oenococcus oeni PST-1, complete genome.
GAACAGACAUUGAUGAGGAAAAGUAAUUUAUUACUGGGAAUUAGCGAGUUUUGUUAGGUGAAAGGAAACAUCUCGGUAAUAAACGAAAAUCACCUUGGAGUUAUGACACGAAGAUUUCAGUAACCGUCAUUGGGCGCAACCAUUAUCUUGCUAACGUAUCGAAUAAUGGUUUUUAUUCCGUACGCGAUGAGAUAUGUUGCGCGAGCAGCAUAUGAAUUUUGGGUGGUAACACGAUUAAUCGUCCCGCAA